UACGUAGGUGGCAAGCGUUGUCCGGAAUUAUUGGGCGUAAAGCGCGCGCAGGCGGCCUCUUAAGUCUGAUGUGAAAGCCCCCCGGCUCAACCCGGGGAGGGCCAUUGGAAACUGGGAGGCUUGAGUAUAGGAGAGAAGAGUGGAAUUCCACGUGUAGCGGUGAAAUGGCGUAGAGAUGUGGAGGAACACCAGUGGCGAAGGCGACUCUUUGGCCUAUAACUGACGCUGAGGCGCGAAAGCGUGGGGAGCAAACAGG
rnacentral:rRNA from 1 species